rnacentral:rRNA from 1 species
GUCCUUUUGUUAUUUAUAUAAGGUCUGACCUGCCCAAUGAGGAUUUGAAUGGCUGCGGUGUUCUGACCGUGCUAAGGUAGCAUAAUCAUUUGUUUUUUAAUUGAGGGCUUGUAUGAAAGGUCGGAUGAAGUAAUUACUUUCUUUAACUUAAUUUGUGAAUUUAAUUUCUUAGUUAAAAAGCUAAGAUGUUUUUAUAGGACGAGAAGACCCUAUAGAUCUUUACAAUUUAUUAAUUAUAAUGAUUUGGUGAAUUUUAAAUUUAUAUUUUUUUAAUUUGUUUGAUUGGGGUGAUUGUGGAAUUCUUUUAACUUCCAUUUUUUGUUAUUCAAAGAUUGUUGUUUUUUUGAUCCACUUAUUGUGAUUAUAAGAUUAAGUUACCUUAGGGAUAACAGCGUAAUUCUCUCGGAGAGUUCAUAUUGAUGGGGGAGUUUGCGACCUCGAUGUUGGAUUAAAAUUAGUAUUGAGUGCAGUAGCUUAAUAACUAGGUCUGUUCGACCUUUAAAGUUUU